CUCCACUCUCACAGCCACCUGGCCUCACGCUGGGACAGCUGGCCGUCUCCGGCGGUGCAGACCAGAGUCUCCUCGUAACGUCUACUCUCUGUUUACCGCCGCUCGCGCGAGUCAAAAACCGAGUCCGGCUUAUAUAUUGUGAGGAGAAGCUCACUAGGCAGGGUGUGGAGGUGAUGCCGGGCUAAUUUGGUUAGCAUGGUGCCUAUAAACAGGGCGGCAAUGGUGAUUAGGACGGUUACGUGUUUACUUCAUCGGUGUGGAGAGAAAAAGGAAGCGAGGUGGUCUCGGUCCACUUCUAAUUGCAGUGAGAAAGCGAUUUGUGUACCAAUCAGAUUCUGACCAAUAGGCGUGAAAGUGCACUUUGAUAUCAGUGCGAUCUUUAUUCUGUAUUUUGAGCUGUAUUUUUGGGACUUUCCAGAUAUUAGCACUAGCAUUAACAUUAACAGCUCUAGCUAGAAUCAAAGCUAACUCCAAUUUCACAGGUAGCAGCACGCAGGCUUUAGCGGGGUUGUGCCGUGGAGCGAGGCCAAAGCGGGGAUCACACAGGCUUCGGAGCUUUGAAAUAGUUUCCGACAGAUUGGGCAGUGUGUUGACAUCAGCGACAUUCCUCGCAGACACAACUCUGAGCAGUGACGGAGAGCAGCCGGUCUGUUCCAGGCUGGUGAGCUGGGAAACAUAUCAUACCGUCCUAAUGGUUUAAAGGGAUACUCCAGCAUUUUAUAAAACUCAUUCUCUACAUUCGCUAUGUACUGGAAAAACAACAACAACAAAAAAAAAAUCACAAAAACUCAAAGUCUAACUCACUUACAUUUGAUGAGACUGGCGUGAGAGAAGUUUUACCAAAGCUUUUCAUAGAUUUUAUGCAACUUUAUAAUCCAACGCUGAAGCAAUACAGUGUAAUGUGUACUGUUUAAUGUCAUGUGUUAAGCCGUGUUAAUGUGUUGCGAUGCUUUUUUAACCCGUAUCAAGCCGGAAAAACAUAGAAAAGAGGAACACAAUGGCAGUAUUAAUAUCCUUGCAUGUGACACACUGCGGCAGCCAUUUUGAUUUUUGCUUAAGAUUUAUUUCCAUUUAUACAACUGCGAAGUCUGGAAAAACUUGGAGAGCAAACAUUGCUAACAUUAACGAAAGUUAGCUGAUAUACUAGUGAGCUAGUCAUUUAGUGAGCUAAUCAUUUAGUGAGCUAGUUAUUUAGUGAGCUAGUCAUUUAGUGAGCUAAUCAUUUAGUGAGCUAAUCAUUUAGUGAGCUAGUUAUUUAGUGAGCUAGUCAUUUAGUGAGCUAAUCAUUUAGUGAGCUAGUUAUUUAGUGAGCUAGUCAUUUAGUGAGCUAGUUAUUUAGUGAGCUAGUCAUUUAGUGAGCUAGACAAUUAGUGAGCUAGACAAUUAGUGAGCUAGUAAUUUAGUUAGCUAGACAUUUAGUGAGCUAGACAUUUAGUGAGCUAGUAAUUUAGUGAACUAGUAAUUUAGUGAGCUAGACAUUUAGUGAGCUAAUCAUUUAGUGAGCUAGACAUUUAGUGAGCGAGUCAUUUAGUGAGCUAGUAAUUUAGUUAGCUAGUCAUUUAGUGAGCUAGUCAUUUAGUGAGCUAGACAUUUAGUGAGCUAGACAUUUAGUGAGCUAGUAAUUUAGUGAACUAGUAAUUUAGUUAGCUAGACAUUUAGUUAGCUAAUCAUUUAGUGAGCUAGACAUUUAGUUAGCUAGACAUUUAGUUAGCUAAUCAUUUAGUGAGCUAGACAUUUAGUGAGCUAGACAUUUAGUUAGCUAAUCAUUUAGUGAGCUAGACAAUUAGUUAGCUAGACAUUUCCUUAGCUAGUCAUUUAGUGAGCUAUUCAUCUACCUGAACACGAAGAGCCGCUCGACUCCUGUGCUCUUAAAUGCUUUGAGAUUAAAUACCUACAUCAGGAAAAUACCAAUUCGGCACGUCUUUUGCUAGUCUAAGUCAGUAGUCUAAAUCAGCAGUUCAGAAGAAAGUUCAUUUAUUAUUUACUAUUAUAUACUAUUUAUUAUUAUUCUGUUCCGUAAUUUCAUUUAUCAGCUACCCCUUGUUACGCUUCGUUUCCGUCCCAAAUAGGAAAUUCUAUGUGGGAUCCUUUUAAUCCUUACCAUACAUAUAUACAAACACACACACACACAGGGGAUGUGUCGAGGUGUUUAGUCAUUUAGUAAAGUGUGUAUAUCUCAUUCUGUAGCCUAGGGUCAAUGACAAAAAUAAAUGACACCCAUGUGGUAACCCCCUUAAAUUUACUUAAUGACCAGAAUCACUAUUAAAUAUGAGUGCCAUUGAACAGGCUCUGAACAGGUCCUCUGUGUCUGACUGCUUAUAUAGUGAUCGUGUAGAUUUAAUUGGUCUUUGCGGGUCACUGACUGCACUUGAAUGCAGCUGUUGUGGGGUGUGAAAGUGUGUGUGUGUGAGAGAGAGAGAGAG
ensembl:lncRNA